ACGCGCCGUUUUCUGUCGCUGGGAGGCGGUUGGCUUACACGCGCUUUGCCGGAAUCGCCUCGGAUAAGAUUCUAUUCAAUGCGACCAACUUCCGGGCUCCUGAUCUCGCCGUGACUCGGUUGGCUCGCCGGUCUCGGCCGUUGAUACUCUGAUUCGACUCUUGUUGACUCGGUUUCGUAUAUCGGUACCAUUACAUUUGCGUUAAUCUGAUUGUUGGUUAAACUGUGAUUCUGAACAAUUAAACGAUGGAGCCGAUGGAUAUAGUUGGGAAGUCCCAAAAGGUUUGAAUUUCUCGAUGCAACAAUGAGAAGAAAAGCUUCAUAUUUGAGGAUGUUAGCUACGAUGACGAAAAUUAUAAAGGAGAUGUUACCACCCGGUGUUCGAGUUGCUAGAGGUGCUCAGGAUCUUCUGAUACAGGGUUGUGUAGGUGAAGAUCAUCCUUCGGAUUCCUCAACUUCCGAGUUUAUAAAUCUAGUUUCCUCGGAGUCUAGGAGUUAAGCAUAUAGCUAGGGUUCCUUCUUCGAACCUUUUGGUAUGUAUUGCCCCAUAACUAUAGAUCAGAUCCACCAGACGAGAAACUGAAGUUUGUAACAAAGAGGAUAAACGGACAGUUGCACCCGAGCAUGUCCUUAGGGCGUUACAGGAUCUUGGAUUCGGAGAAUACAUGGAGGAAGUUUAUGCGGCAUACUAGCAACAUAAGUCUGAAACUAUGCAGGACUCACAGAGAGGCGGGAAGUGGAACAGCGUGGCUGAAAUGGCGGGGGAAGAUGCGGGCCGUCGAACAACAGCGUAUGUUUGCAGAAGCUCGUGCCAGGAUGAACAGUCGGUAAUUCUUCAUUUCCGAUUCAACCCGAAAACCGACCUGAGACAUGAGUCUUCGGAUCUAAUCGA